AUGCACGCUGGCGGCGUGCCUAAUCCCUGCCAGUCGAGCGAACAGACGAGGAGCUUGCUCCUCUGACGUUAGCGGCGGACGGGUGAGUAACACGUGGAUAACCUACCUAUAAGACUGGGAUAACUUCGGGAAACCGGAGCUAAUACCGGAUAACAUGUUGAACCGCUUGGUUCAACAGUGAAAGACGGUCUUGCUGUCACUUAUAGAUGGAUCCGCGCCGCAUUAGCUAGUUGGUAAGGUAACGGCUUACCAAGGCAACGAUGCGUAGCCGACCUGAGAGGGUGAUCGGCCACACUGGAACUGAGACACGGUCCAGACUCCUACGGGAGGCAGCAGUAGGGAAUCUUCCGCAAUGGGCGAAAGCCUGACGGAGCAACGCCGCGUGAGUGAAGAAGGUCUUCGGAUCGUAAAACUCUGUUAUUAGGGAAGAACAAAUGUGUAAGUAACUAUGCACGUCUUGACGGUACCUAAUCAGAAAGCCACGGCUAACUACGUG
rnacentral:rRNA from 1 species